CGGUAAUACGAAGGGUGCAAGCGUUACUCGGAAUUACUGGGCGUAAAGCGUGCGUAGGUGGUUGUUUAAGUCUGUCGUGAAAGCCCUGGGCUCAACCUGGGAAUUGCGAUGGAAACUGGGCGACUAGAGUGUGGCAGAGGAUAGUGGAAUUCCUGGUGUAGCAGUGAAAUGCGUAGAGAUCAGGAGGAACAUCCGUGGCGAAGGCGACUGUCUGGGCCAACACUGACACUGAGGCACGAAAGCGUGGGGAGCAAACAGGAUUA
rnacentral:rRNA from 1 species